GGGAAGGGGGCGGGGCGGUGUUGUCCUGGCGGCGUGUGGCAGCGGCGAGGGUGUAUAUAAGGUUGUCUAUCCUGGCCGAACCUCAACACACACUACAGCCUCUCCCUCCUCGCUCUCCGUAACCUAACCUCACUUUCCUGACCGUCGGGAUGGCUCGCGCCCACGUGCUCCUGCUGCUGCUGGUGGCUUCGGCGUCCCUGGCUGCUGUGGGCGACGGCUUCGUGCUGUGCCCCACUUUCCCGCGCUGUUGCAAGACCGGCUCGUGCGGCCUACUGUGCCCCUCGUGCAGUGAAGCCGAAUACUUCAAGAACGGGGUCAGGAUCGAGCCUAAGAGUUCAGUGCGCUGCGGCCUUAACAAUCUCAUCGGCGACCCCUAUGCCCUAGUCGGCGCGGACAUCUUCCCCAGCCCGCUCAUCUGCAUCUAGGCGUCAGGGUCGUGGAACUAAUGAAGGUUCUGAUCCAUGUUGUUCCUGUGCUCCCUCAAGGCCCCGCGCUGGUCGUGGACGAGGGAACGAGUCCUGCUGAAUGCGAUGGACCGUUCCUCUUGAGCUCUGGACGAGGGAAAGAGUCCAGAUGGAUGUUCGGCCGUUCCCCUUGAGUCCUAGGAGAAAGAGUUCAGCCCGGUGCUCUCCAGUCAUGGCAGAGGGAGAGUCCAGCUUGAUGCGAUGGCACAAUGGUCUUGAGUCUUAGAAGAGGGAUAGAGUCCAGCCGCUUCCCUUGUCUUAUUUAGGUCUGAAGCCUUGAACGUAUCCAGCUGCGUCUUGGGCCGGUGCUCUGAUGUAUCCCAAAGGUCCUCCGUCUGGGUCCUGGCGUCCUAUGUCCAACCGUGUGCGGGGACGGAGAAGAAGGUAUGUCAUGGGGUACUGAGGGGAAGGAAGUCCUGAUCCUGGUGCCUCGUGUGAUGGGCCGAGGCAGGGACGUGAAAGAUGGGAUGUCAAAGGGAAGAUCAUGCCGGUGCUGAGGGGAAGACAGUCCUGGUCCCGGCGCCUUGAAUGUCCAGCCUUGUGUGGUGGACUGGUGCCGGGUCUCAAGGUGUCUGUGGUGAGGGUAUUCGUGUCUGUGGGUGAAUCCAAGGCACUACGGGUGGAGGCUCCUUGUCUGAGGUGAUUGCAGGUGUUCCGGUCCCUCAUCUCAUAGGCAGGUGUCCUCCAAGCUGAGCCGCCGAGGCAAGAAGUGUUACAGAGUCGGGAGAAAAGUCCGCAGGUUGUCUCCCGCCUGGUGACGUGACGAGGCCCAAAGUGUGAGGCUGUUAGUGUGUUUUGUGGUGAGUCAGAGAAGUCGCUGCGUGCGAGUCUCGAGCACAUCCGGUGGUGACAGUGUAGAGCUGCGACGACAUCAGCUGACAUUGUGGUGCAGGCGCGGAGUUCCCCUUGGCGGGUCUUCGGCCACACGCUGUGAUAUUAGAGUUUAAGGAUUAUUGCAGAGUUGAGUUGUCAUUUUGCUUUCUAUCUCGACUGGCUGUUCUCGAUCAUGCCAUUUUGCUUCACGAUGUUCUAAAUUGUAGCAGCGUGAUUGUGCUUUCGAAUUUAAAGUAUAUGUAAUUUCUUAAAGGAUUGCUUAGUGUUUAGAUAUUUGUAAAUGUUGCAAUAUUUGUGAAUGUUUCAAGACGCCAAUAAAUGUUGCUCAGCGUA